AGUGUUCACACUCAAACAUCAACACUACAUACAAACACACCCCUGUAUUCAAAUAGAAAAACUAUACACAAAUACAUCCUUCAUUCAAACACCAACACUACAUACAAACACACCCUUGCAUUCAAACACACUACACACAAUUACACCACUGCUUUUAAGUGACAUCAGUACAUAAAAACACAAAACUUCAUUCAAAUACCAACACUUGACACAAAUAGAGCCCUACAUCCACACACACAUACUCCAUACAAAAACAUGCUUAAAUUCAAACACACAAACACUGCCCACAAUUAAAACC